rnacentral:rRNA from 1 species
UACGUAGGGUGCGAGCGUUGUCCGGAAUUAUUGGGCGUAAAGAGCUUGUAGGCGGUUUGUCGCGUCUGCCGUGAAAAUUCGAGGCUCAACCUCGAACUUGCGGUGGGUACGGGCAGACUAGAGUGUGGUAGGGGAGACUGGAAUUCCUGGUGUAGCGGUGAAAUGCGCAGAUAUCAGGAGGAACACCGGUGGCGAAGGCGGAUCUCUGGGCCGUUACUGACGCUGAGGAGCGAAAGCGUGGGGAGCGAACAGG